rnacentral:lncRNA from 10 species
AGAUAAGGAAACUGAAGCACAGAGAGGUUAAAUUACCUGAUCUAGGUCACACAGCCAGUGAGUGUCAAAAGCAAGAUGUGAGCCAGGCAGCCUGCACUGCUACCACUACGCAAUGAAAACAUGUGUUGAACCGGAAGGGAAUGGAGAUCCUAUGAACCAGUUAUUAUUCCUGCUCCCGGCUGAAGCCCCAGGAGGCAUUUCUUGGCCUGCGCUGAAAUCCUUGGGGCCCUGUAUAGAUCUCAGCACUUCCCAGAGCUUCCACUUCUCUGUCUACUGGAUGGUCUUCUUUCAUCAAAACUUACCUUUUACAAUGAUCCUCCGUUAGAAAAGGACAUUAGAAUUCCUUUUCUUUCUUGGUUCCUGGUUUAUUUGGGUAAACUACAGCCUAUGCUUUGUUGCCUGGAGAGCAAAGGGGAACGAGAGGAGAGGACUCUAUUUAACCAACCUCCAAUUGUGCAGACUUAUCCAGGACAGAGUCACUGGCUUUGGACUCCUAAAGGACAAACAUCAGAUAGGGCUUGUGAUCACAAUGAUUUUGAAAAGCUAAUUAGAAGAAUCUUCUUUCUUCCCCUAGACCUGAUUUAAAUAGCACACUGGCUCUUAUUCCACAUCCUUCUGCUUCUACGGUAUGUAUACUAUACACCUUGGUACAUGACAUAAACACUUAAGAAGAAAAACAAUUCUCAACAUCAGAGUUGACUUAUACAAUGUCCUGACUUUACUGCUUUGCUCCCAUCCCUGAAGCUGGCAAUAGCCCCCACACCCUUCCCACGCCUGAGGCCUCCUGGUUAUAAGAAGCACUGAGAAGGCAGCAUGGGGAAGGUGAUUGUUAGCCAUUCUCCACCAGUGGCUGCAGGAAUUCAACAAGGAAGACCUCAAGUUGACCUAAUUACUUAUAUUUUCUUCAUGUCUUGGAAUAUUACUCCAUAGAUCUUAAAUGUAAAAGUACACAUAGCAAUUAUCCCAAACAUAACUCCAAUUGCACAAAUAUUCCUAAAACUCCUGGAAUACAUAACCAUCGGGUCCCUCUUAAGCAGAAUUCAUACAGGACCACUGCAGGGCUCAACAAUGGCCAAGAAAACAGAAUGGGACAGAAUCAUAAUAUAACAUCUGGGUGUAGCUUUCUGCCUCUAGAAUUAAACUGUGCCUGCCCUUCAAACACCCAUACUUGAGAAGUUUAAGAAAUAGCCUUAAUUUUCACAUAUCAGGAGAGGGAUAUCUUUACGUUUAUUACUAAAUUUCUGGCCAUAUUUCAUGUAAUAUAUUAAUUAACUUAAUGACAGAUUGCUUUCUGUUUUCCUAUAUUUUAUUUCAUAGUGAUUUAGUUCCAUACUAGAUUAUAAGCUUUUUGAAAGAAGGACUAAAUCUUACAUGGCUCUUGUCUUAUGUUCAGCCAGGGUUAAGAACAACUGCUAUAGACCAGAACAUGAUUGCACGGAGAUGGGCCUGAAAAAGACCUGUCAGAAUCAGAUUCUGAGGGCCUUGAAUAGUAUGCUCAUGAGCUUGGACUUAAUUCUGUAAAAAAUGAAGGGCCAUAAAGGGCUUUUAAAAUUCAUGGGUGUCAUGAUCAGGUCUGUUUUAAAAAGAAAGUAUGGUGACCAAAUGGAGGAUAAACUGGAGGAAGAAGAGAUCAUAGACAGGGAAAUUCUGACAAUACUUGAAACAGUCCUAGUGAGAGAUAAUUAAGCCUGAACAGAGCCUGUGGCAACACAGAGGAGGGGCCAAAACUGUUUAGAGAAACACUGGUUAUCUACCCAUGAAUUAUCUGUGGCAAAUGCUGACACUAAAUGCAAGGGUUUGAGAAAUAAGGAAUCAAAAUUGGUUCUAGGUUUCUAACUUGGAUGAUUGGCUAAGGAUGACACCAUCAACCAGGGGUAGAGAUUCUUAUUAAGGAUGCUCAAUUGUGGUUGAUUGAGUAGUCAUAGGAGUAUCAUAGAAAAGAUUAAAGCUCUGAAGAGAAGCAUUAAACUAAAUGAUUCUAAAGAACCUUUUCAAGUUUGAAAUUCUACAGCUCUCCUGCAUAAAGUUAUUAACUCAUUGAAGGCAGGGUUUGCAUUUUCAUUUUUGUAUUCUCCACAAUGCAUAGCGUUUUAUAGGGGCUCAAACAUAUCUGAUGAAUGAAAAGGUAUGAGAUUAAAAGGACGUUUCUAAGAGGCUUCCUCACAAGCAGGGCUGUUUAAGUUUCCAUCCUACUGUCGUUCUUACCUUUAUUUCACAUUAUUCUGAACAAUGCCUACAAUUUCCAUGUAACACAAUUGCUUUUAUGAUCCAGUGCACAAACCAAGGUCCUUUUUCUUUAUCUAUAAAUUUGAGCAGCUGCUGUUGCUGCUGCUGCUAAUAAUAAUAAGAAAAUAAUUCCAUCUUUAUAGGGUUAUGUGAGUCCAUACAGUUGUCACCACCCAAAGGGCAUGAAGGCAAGGAGACAACUGAGCACAUUUCAUACAAAUUACUGUGGAUGAUGUGGACAUGGCCACAUUCAGCUUUCAUUCAAUCUUGCAUAGCCAGAUAAGCUCAGAUGUUUGGUAUUUGCUGCUCUGAAUGUACUGCCAGUAACCUAGUAGGCCAAGUUAAUAUUAGCUCGCACUGGGUAUAUGUGGGUAUUUUGUUGCUGUUUGGAGAAAUGACCACUUUACUUGGUUAUACUGACAGCUCUACUGUAAAAUUUGCUGGCAUUAAAGGUCAAAAAAAACCCAGUUUUCCUCUGGUUGCUUCCACCCAAAAGAGAAUAAAUCUGGGAGCUGAAUCACUUCUCUGACAAUAAUUUAUGAAUCAUGCAUUGACUAUGUUUGAAUUGAGAAAGGCUUUCAUAUCCUUUCCAUUAGCUCAGAUUAAGUUUUCAUAUAGAUGCUGAGAAGCAUGCUAGCAAUAUCCUUAGCUCAUUUUUAUGAAAAUUUUAUCAGUGCUUUUUUCUGUACUACACUCCAAUUGGGAUGUCUCAGAAUCUAAAGCUCAGCUUUGGACAUGAACUUCUCUCAACCUGGCUGGCUGCUGCUCUAAAGGUUUCAAUAUUUUAUGGGCUCUGGCUAACUCAGCCGUGAGAUUCAAGCUGCAGAGAUUUAACUCUAAUGUAAAAUCAUGAACGGAUGAAAACUGGGAUGUCAUAAGUAAUACAUCUACAAGAGCAGGAUGCAGUUACCAUUUUUAAAAGGGCUUUAAAAAGAAAACAACAUUCUCUGUUCUGUCUUUAUGCCCCAAAAUGAAAAGCCCCUGAGCUAUUGUACUAACACAGGGCCAUCUUUUCUUCCCUGCUUUUCUUCAAUUGUUGCUUAAUUGUUGUGGUGGGCUGGGGUUUUUUCCCCUUAAGGUCCUCCCAUCCACAUGAAAGCCCCUAAUGUCUGCAUUCCAGAGAAAUGGACACUGCGUGGUCGAAUGUGUAUAGGCCAAACCCAUUUCUUAGCAUCUUCCUCUUUUUGUCUCAAAACUGAUUUAAAACAUUUGGAAAAUCUGUCUAUUCAGCUGAAGUGUUCCAGUGCAUUCUUUCCUGGAAACAGUGGGGUCACAUGUGAUCUGUCUGAUGGACUUUUCUGCUGCAAUCUGUAGCCAUUUCCCUCGAGCCCCGCAGAGCCUAGCAAAGCCGAGGAGCUCUGUAAUGGCUCCAAUAACAACGUGUUCUUUGUGUGAAAGAAUCCAGGGGGAAGAGCUGGAGUAGACUGGCCAGCAACAACAACAAAAAAAUCAUUUUUUGUACUCAUUUAUUUCUUCAUUAUGUGCUUUGCCAUUAAACAUUCUUCACAGUAAAUACACCUUUCCGUAAAACACUGCCCGAGCACGAAAAAAUACAGAAAGUUCUGUUUUUUAAAAAAGGCUGUAGUCAUCAUCGCUAGUUAUUAAUCUGCUUCUAAUAAGAUGGUUGAUGGCAGGAACUGCAUUGCAUUUGUCUGUACUUGUAACAGGAGAGAUGGUUUCUAGACAGAGCUUAAUUUAUCUGUUCGAAAAUGUCACCUGAUGGAUGCAUUGGAAUAAAUCCAUCUUUUCUAGUUUCAAAAAUAUCACAAAAUCAACACUUCACUAAAUUAACUAUAGAAUCACAGAACUGGAAGAGACCAAAUAAAUCAGGUGGUGUGCCCAUUCCCUUCAGGGAGCUGGAUGUCCCACCAAAGGCAAAAAAGUGACCGUGCUGGUCAUUACAGCUUCAGGGACCCCAAGAUCUUUCUCAGAACCUUCCUAGUACUCUGUCAUGUUGAAAGUGGCAGUUCUGCCCUUGCAUUCAAGAGAAGUUUAAACUAUUUUAAUCAUAGCCCAGCUUCUCUUGUUUAGUUAACUACUUAUAACAUGGAAAACAAUGCUUUCACAUAAACCUCCUUAUAUCCUUGAAGAUAGUCAUGAAGUUUCGCCUCUGAUCUUAUCUUCUGUAGGAUAAAACCAGCUUCUUUAGCAUAUUAUAUAAUGGGCACUUCUCAUCUAUUUAAUCAGUCCCAGAGGGUUGUGGCUUCAAAUGAC